rnacentral:misc_RNA from 1 species
GAUGAAGAACGUAGCGAAAUGCGAAAAGUAAUGUGAAUUGCAGAAUUCAGUGAAUCAUCGAAUCUUUGAACGCACAUUGCGCCCGCCAGUAUUCUGGCGGGCAUGCCUGUCUGAGCGUCAUUUCAACCCUCAUGCCCCUAGGGCGUGGUGUUGGGGAUCGGCCAGCGCCCGCGAGGGACGGCCGGCCCCUAAAUCUAGUGGCGGACCCGUCGUGGCCUCCCCUGCGAAGUAGUGAUAUUCCGCAUAGGAGAGCGACGAGCCCCUGCCGUUAAACCCCCAACUUUCUAAGGUUGACCUCAGAUCAGGUAGGAAUACCCGCUGAACUUAAGCAUAUCAAUAAGCGGACGA